CAACACUGGGACUGAGACACUGCCCAGACUCCUACGGGAGGCUGCAGUCGAGAAUCUUUUCCAAUGGGCGAAAGCCUGAGAAUGCGACGUCGCGUGCGGGAUGAAGGCCUUCGGGUUGUAAACCGCUGUCAGAGGUUAGGAAGUGCGGGUGUGUAAAUAGCACAUUCGUUUGACCGGCCUCAGAGGAAGCCAUGGCUAACUCCGUGCCAGCAGCCGCGGUAAUACGGAGAUGGCGAGCGUUGUUCGGAAUCACUGGGCAUAAAGGGCACGUAGGCGGGUCCGUCAGUCAGAUGUGAAAUCCCUCGGCUCAACCGGGGAACUGCGUUUGAUACUGCGGGUCUAGAGUGCAGGAGGGGAGAGUGGAAUUCCUGGUGGAGCGGUGAAAUGCGUAGAUAUCAGGAAGAACGCCGAGGCGAAAGCGACUCUCUGGCCUGCUACUGACGCUGAGGUGCGAAAGCCAAGGGAGCGAACAGGAUUAGAUACCCUGGUAGUCUUGGCUGUAAACGAUGGGCACUAAGUGGAGGGGGUUCUGAUGCUUUCUCUGCUGAAGCAAAUGUGAUAAGUGCCCCGCCUGGGGAGUAUGGCCGCAAGGUUAAAACUCAAAGGAAUUGACGGGGGCUCGCACAAGCGGUGGAGUAUGUGGCUUAAUUCGAGGCAACGCGAAGAACCUUACCCGGGUUUGACAUGCAGGUAGUACAAUCCCGAAAGGGGGAGGACCUCAGCAAUGGGGAGCCUGCACAGGUGUUGCAUGGCUGUCUCAGCUUGUGUCGUGAGAUGUCGGGUUAAGUCCUUUAACAGCGAAACCCUUAUCGUUAGUUGCCAGCGCGUAAUGGCGGGUACUCUAGCGAGACUGCCGUUGUAAAACGGAGGAAGGCGGGGAUGACGUCAAGUCCUCAUGGCCCUUAUGCCCGGGGCUGCACACGUACCACAAUGGCCGGUACAGAGGGAAGCGAGACCGAGAGGUGGAGCAAAUCCCAAAAAACCGGUCCCAGUUCGGAUCGAAGGCUGCAAUUCGCCUUCGUGAAGUCGGAAUCGCUAGUAAUCGCAGAUCAGCUACGCUGCGGUGAAUAUGUUCCCGAGCCUUGUACACACCGCCCGUCAAGCCACGAAAGCCGGUAGUACCCGAAGUCGUAGUUCUAACCUCUUCGGAGGAGGGACGCGCCGAAGGUAAGACCGGUGAUUGGGACUAAGUCGUAACAAGGUA
rnacentral:rRNA from 1 species